rnacentral:tRNA from 2 species
GUGGUCGUAGCUCAAUGGUAGAGUCCAGGCUUGUGGAGCCUGUUGUUGCGGGUUCGAAUCCCGUCGGCCACCCCA